rnacentral:misc_RNA from 1 species
GCCUUGCAAUUACUAUAAUAGUGUACAUUGAUUUGCAAUGAUCUCCCCCACAAUUGACAAGAAAGAGAGAAAGAAACAGAAUUGACAUCGAUAAGCCCGUUUGGCAAGCAGGCCAUUUGAGACAAAUGAGGAAUGGAGCAACAAAAAUGGGACGGACUUCCAGUGGGAAAAGGUUUCUCUGUUGUCUUUUGCUGCUCUCCGGAGUCAUGAGCUGAAGCCCUCUCUUCUCUUAGUAGAUAACCGUUUCAAGAAUUCGUACGUAGUGAUCAUUGUUGUUGCAGACAU